rnacentral:miRNA from 1 species
UGCCCCAUUGACCGGAAGGAAUCCCUUCCGGUCGAUGAGGUUGUUAUACCUCAUCAACCAGAAGGAUUUCCUUUGCAUAAAUGAGUUAUAACAACCCCAUUGACCAGAAGGAAUUCCUUCCAAUUGAUGAGGUGGAACAGCCUCAUUGACCAGAAGGAAUCCCUUCCGUCCGAUGAGGCC